rnacentral:snRNA from 1 species
GGAGAUGAUGAGGAUCUGGCUGUGGCAUCUGUCACCCCAUUGACCACCAGCGUUUCCCAACUGAGCUGGAUGAAGAUUGUCCCCUUCCUCCCUGUUUCCCUGCCAUGUGCAUCCCUCCCAAAGCAGCACACUUAGUUGAAGAGGACAACUUUACCCGAUACUGGAGAACCACUCCUUGGUCAAGAGUACAUGGGUACCUCAUCCGCUGUUCUCCAUUUGUGGGGAACAUAAGUUAGUGAAACUUCUGAGACUCCAGAUACAUCCAAAUGAGGCACUGCAUUUGGCAAUCUGCUUU